UCGCCUGUUAACAAAAACAUAGCUUUAUGGAUUAUUUAUAUAAGGUUUUACCUGCCCAAUGAUAUAAUUUAAAUGGCCGCAGUACUUUGACUGUGCUAAGGUAGCAUAAUAAAUUGACUUUUAAUUAAGGUCUAGAAUGAAAGGAUAAAUGAAUAUAUACUGUCUUUAAUUAAUUAAUAUUAAUUUUCUUAGAAGGUGAAAAUUCCUUUAAGUAUAUUAAAAAGACGAGAAGACCCUAGGAGUUUUAAAUAAACCUUUUUGUUGGGGCAACACUAUAACAAAUAAUUUAUAGUAAUAUUACAAAUUAAACGAAAUCUUUUAAUUAUAAAUAAGCUACCCUAGGGAUAACAGCAUAAUUUAUUUUAAAAUAAGUUUGUGACCUCGAUGUUGGACUAGGGACUUUAAAUAUUAACUAUAUUUAUUGGUUUGUUCUGUUCGAACAUUUUAUACCUACGUGAUCUGAGUUCAGACCGGA
rnacentral:rRNA from 1 species